rnacentral:rRNA from 1 species
UACUAGAGUAGCACUCGCAUAUCAAUAAGCGGAGGAAAAGAAACUAACAAGGAUUCCCCUAGUAACGGCGAGUGAAGCGGGAAGAGCUCAAAUUUGAAAUCUUAAAGGGUUUCCCUUUACGAAUUGUAGUUUAAAGAAGUGUUUUCUGUUGAGGUUUUGGUAAAGGUUCUUUGGAAUAGGACAUCAUAGAGGGUGAGAAUCCCGUAUUUGACCUUUACUUUCAACUUUGUGAUACACUUUCAAAGAGUCGGAUUGUUUGGGAAUGCAGUCCAAAAUGGGUGGUAAAUUUCAUCUAAAGCUAAAUAUUGGCGAGAGACCGGAUAGCGAACAAGUACCGUGAGGGAAAGAUGAAAAGAACUUUGAAAAGAGAGUUAAACAGUACGUGAAAUUGUCAAAAGGGAAGCGUUUGACACCAGUGUUGUUUUUUCUGAAAAUCAAUUAAAGAACUGUUUAUGCUAAGCUGUUUAGACUUUAUCAGCUAUCUGUUUAGUUUUGAGCUUUUCUUUAAUGCACUUUUCAGUUAACAAGUCAACAUCAAUUUCUUUUGCUGUAAAAAAGCUUGAGGAAGGUGGCUUGAGAUUCGUCUUAAGUGUUUAUAGCCUCUUGCCUAUGCAGUCGGAGAGAUUGAGGUCUGCAGCGUAGAUCCUUCGGGGCUAAAUGCAUUUGUGCUAAGUUAUAGCAUUUUAUAGACAACUUGUUGACUAUGAUUUGUCUUGUAGCUUACUCGCUUAUGUUAUUUUACCUACGCUUAGGAUGUUGAGCGCAUGUCUCUCUCU